AGGGGUGAAGGUCAGUGGUAGAGCAUCUGCUUUGUAUGCAAAAGUUCGCAUGUUCAAUCCCUGUCAUCUCCA